GAUGAACGCUGGCGGCGUGCCUAAUACAUGCAAGUCGAGCGAAGCGAGGUCGGGUGAGUAACACGUCUAUCACCGCCUAUCGGACUGGGCUCACUUCGGGACACCGGCGCUGAACCGGAUACUUAUCGAUGGUACUUCGCUGAAUUAGUUAGUUGGUAAGAUAACGGCUUACCAAGGCAACGAUGCAUAGCCGACCUGAGAGGGUGAUCGGCCACACUGGAACUGAGACACGGUCCAGACUCCUACGGGAGGCAGCAGUAGGGAAUCUUCCGCAAUGGGCGAAAGCCUGACGGAGCAACGCCGCGUGAGUGAUGAAGGUCUUCGGAUCGUAAAACUCUGUUAUUAGGGAAGCGGUACCUAAUCAGAAAGCCACGGCUAACUACGUGCCAGCAGCCGCGGUAAUAC
rnacentral:rRNA from 1 species